GAAGGGGGCUAGCGUUGCUCGGAAUCACUGGGCGUAAAGGGUGCGUAGGCGGGUCUUUAAGUCAGGGGUGAAAUCCUGGAGCUCAACUCCAGAACUGCCUUUGAUACUGAAGAUCUUGAGUUCGGGAGAGGUGAGUGGAACUGCGAGUGUAGAGGUGAAAUUCGUAGAUAUUCGCAAGAACACCAGUGGCGAAGGCGGCUCACUGGCCCGAUACUGACGCUGAGGCACGAAAGCGUGGGGAGCAAA
rnacentral:rRNA from 1 species